CUCCACAGUGGAAGUCUGAGGGAAAUACAGGAGGAGGAAACAGAGGCAGUCAUUUUGAACAGCAGCUGCAGUGCAGUGACACUGUGCUGUCAGGUCGGAGAUUGGAAGUAUGAGCAGCUAAUCCUGCCGGGCGAACUGAAACACUGUGCCUUUCGGAGGACCAAGCCGCAUCGAGGCAUCUCGGUUGCAUACUAAUUGCACGACACUCAACCUCUGAGAGCGAGCGAGCCUGUCUAUGCAGAGAACUGUUUUUCACCGUCGCACAAUAAAGUGCACAAUCUCAGACAGACAUCCAGAAUUGCAGAGAUCCGCCGCCUUCCGUGGAGAACCGGCGAGGAUCAAAACAUGGACAAAAUAUGAUUGUUUGGGGACAAAAACUCCACAUGUUUUAACUCUGCAACGGCCCCCUUUUGGUUUUGCUUCCUAGUUAAAUGACAAAAACAGGGCCCUCACUCUCUCCCAUGGUGGACAUCACAGGAUUUUUCUGCUGCAGCUUUCAACAUCCUGUCUGCCCAGGAGAAAAGAUGAUCACAAAAAGUGAAAAUAGCAAAGCUACAUGUAAAAUAUUGCACCUCGGGUCUCUGGACAGGUUUAAAACAUGUUCUGGCAGAAAGAGCAAAGUUUGACAUUGAUGAAGCCAAAUCAGAGGCCUUGAAAGCACAAAAUCAGAUGUGUGAGAUUUAAAAAAUAAACACCUGAAGUAAGAACUGGAGGGGUGCUGAGCAUUCCACUGCUUUGUCCUUUUAUACCUUUGCAUUUUUGGUUGAUCUCUACACAUAUUUUUUUCAUUAAAAAAAUAAGCUCUCUCUC